GACGAACGCUGGCGGCGUGCUUAACACAUGCAAGUCGAACGGAAAGGCCCUGCUUUUGUGGGGUGCUCGAGUGGCGAACGGGUGAGUAACACGUGAGUAACCUGCCCUUGACUUUGGGAUAACUUCAGGAAACUGGGGCUAAUACCGGAUAGGAGCUCCUGCUGCAUGGUGGGGGUUGGAAAGUUUCGGCGGUUGGGGAUGGACUCGCGGCUUAUCAGCUUGUUGGUGGGGUAGUGGCUUACCAAGGCUUUGACGGGUAGCCGGCCUGAGAGGGUGACCGGCAACAUGGGAAUGGAGAUACGGCCCAGACUCCUACGGGGGGCAGCAGUGGGGAUUUUUGCACAAGGGGCGGAAGCCUGAGGCAGAACCGCCGCGUGGGGGAUGACGGCCUUCGGGUUGUAAACCGCUUUCGCCUGUGACGAAGCGUGAGUGACGGUAAUGGGUAAAGAAGCACCGGCUAACUACGU
rnacentral:rRNA from 1 species